UUAACUAAAGCCAAAAAGAGGCAUUUCAUUGUUAAUGAAAUAAUUGAGAAAUUUAACUCUAGUUAAA
rnacentral:tRNA from 1 species